rnacentral:rRNA from 1 species
GAUGAACGCUGGCGGCGUGCCUAAUACAUGCAAGUCGAGCGAACGGACGAGAAGCUUGCUUCUCUGAUGUUAGCGGCGGACGGGUGAGUAACACGUGGAUAACCUACCUAUAAGACUGGGAUAACUUCGGGAAACCGUAGCUAAUACCGGAUAAUAUUUUGAACCGCAUGGUUCAAAAGUGAAAGACGGUCUUGCUGUCACUUAUAGAUGGAUCUGCGCUGCAUUAGCUAGUUGGUAAGGUAACGGCUUAUCAAGGCAACGAUGCGUAGCCGACCGGAGAGAGUGGUCGCCGACACUGGAGCUUGGACGCGGUCCAUGCUACUGAGGUACGCAGCAGUAGGCAAUCGGCCGCAGUAGUCGAGAACAUUACGGAGCGGGGCCGCGUGAGAGAUAGAAAUCUUCGGAGCGGGAUACUGUGUUACUAGUUGAAAACAGCUUUGUAAGGUGACGAGGACAGCGUGACGGUACUGGGUAAGAAAGCCACGGCUAACUACGUG